rnacentral:rRNA from 1 species
AGAGUUUGAUCCUGGCUCAGAACGAACGCUGGUGGCGUGCCUAACACAUGCAAGUCGAACGAGAAAGUCCGCUUCGGUGGAUGAGUAAAGUGGCGCACGGGUGAGUAACACGUGGAUAAUCUACCUCCGAGCGAGGGAUAACUCGUCGAAAGGCGGGCUAAUACCUUAUAACAUCUCACGAACUGCGGUUUGCGAGAUCAAAGGUGGCCUCUGACAGCAAGCUGUCGCUUGGAGAUGAGUCCGCGGCCCAUUAGCUAGUUGGUAGGGUAAUGGCCUACCAAGGCGACGAUGGGUAGCUGGUCUGAGAGGGUGAUCAGCCACACUGGAACUGAGACACGGUCCAGACUCCUACGGGAGGCAGCAGUGAGGAAUAUUGCGCAAUGGGGGAAACCCUGACGCAGCAACGCCGUGUGAGUGAUGAAGGCCUUCGGGUCGUAAAGCUCUGUUGGGAGGGAAGAAAGGGUCGUGACGAAUAAUCAUGAUCUCUGACGGUACCUCUAGAGGAAGCACCGGCUAACUCCGUGCCAGCAGCCGCGGUAAUACGGAGGGUGCUAGCGUUGUUCGGAAUUACUGGGCGUAAAGCGCGUGCAGGCGGCCAGUUAAGUCAGAUGUGAAAUCCCUGGGCUUAACCCAGGAACUGCAUCUGAAACUGGUUGGCUAGAGUACGGGAGAGGAAGGUGGAAUUCCUGGUGUAGAGGUGAAAUUCGUAGAUAUCGGGAAGAACACCGGUGGCGAAGGCGGCCUUCUGGCCCGAUACUGACGCUGAGACGCGAAAGCGUGGGGAGCAAACAGGAUUAGAUACCCUGGUAGUCCACGCCGUAAACGUUGGGCACUAGGUGUGGGAGGUAUUUACUCCUUCCGUGCCGAAGCUAACGCAUUAAGUGCCCCGCCUGGGGAGUACGGUCGCAAGGCUAAAACUCAAAGGAAUUGACGG